GCCGGUGUGGUGAAAUUGGUAGACGCGCUAGACUCAAAAUCUUGUUUCGAAAGAAGUGUCGGUUCGAGUCCGACCACCGGCACCA
rnacentral:tRNA from 1 species